GAUGAACGCUAGCGGCAGGCCUAAUACAUGCAAGCCGAACGGCAAGGUUUUCAGCAAUGGGAACCCUAGAGUGGCGUAAGGGUGCGUAACACGUAUGCAAUCUACCCUUAACAGGCGGAUAGGUCCCUGAAAGGGGAAUUAAGCCGCCAUAGGAAUUUUGGAUGGCAUCAUUUGAAAUUUAAAACUACGGUGGUUAAGGAUGAGCAUGCGCAUGAUUAGUUAGUUGGCGGGGUAACGGCCCACCAAGACUUUGAUCAUUAGGGGGAACUGAGAGGUU
rnacentral:rRNA from 1 species